rnacentral:tRNA from 1 species
GCCGUACUAGAGAAAUGGUUAACUCGUCGGUCUCCUAUUAUAUAAAAUAUAUAUAAUCACAGCCGAAGAUUCCCGGUUCGAGUCCGGGGUGCGGUG